UGCUGAUCUGAGAGAGGAUAAUGGACAAUCACAUCUAUUGUCAAAGCAGAGGGAACCAGUGCAGCCUUUACACAACACUGGCAUAUAAUAGCAUAACAGCACUUUUGUUUUUGCAGAAAAUGACAGAAAUGUACAAGGGGAUUCAUUAACACUGAAAGUGUUAUGGAUCCUAUUUUGGAAUCUUUCAAGGACAUCGUUGGGGUGCUAAUAGAAGCUGUUAAUGGCUCAAGAGAAUGUAUAAAACAAUUCAAAGUAUGGAAAAAAAUUCAAAAUAUGGGAAAGAUAUCAGGAGCGACUUGAGAAACUGCAAGUCACUUUUGGUGUGAGAGAAUUGGCUGACUGUCAAGGGGAUGCCCGGAUGUUUUUUUUGUUAAUAUUUUACCAUCCUUGUGGGAGGCUUCUGUCAUAUCCCCGCAUGGAGCUGGAGCUGAUAGAGAUUGUAUUCGAACUGGCAACCUUCAGACUACAGCCCAAAAUACAUCCCAGACAGUUCAGGAAUGUCAAAAGAAGUGCUCAUGGGAAAUAAUUCAGUGAUCUCAAGGUGGCUCUCCUGCCUCCCACUUCCCUCUCAAUGACUUUGGGAUAUAGGUGAGGCUGAGAAACCAUCACCAGCCCAACAUCAUCCAGUCGAUUUCACAGCUCAGUGGGACAAAUAAAUGGAUCACCUAAAUCCCAGUUCAACCCUUUUAAUCAAUAUACCAUAAUGGCUCACCAGAAUUGCAGGGCUGCUUCCCCUCUGUUUCCUCUGUGCUGAGUUAUUCCAUAUAUUCUAUUAUAAAGUGCAACACAAUUUUCUAAACUUUAAUAUAAUUAACUAUAGCCAAAGUUUUGGACAAGAAACAGCCACCUCCCAAUCAGCCUGGGAUAAUUUCUCCUUCCUCGUCGUUGGUAUAUUCCACAGUUAGUCAACUGUUUGCCCAUUAAUUUUAGCUGGGAGUGCAGGAGGAGAGGUAUUUAUUUUUAUUUGGUUAAUUUUCACACAAUUCUACAUCUGUCUGUAUGUAGCAGUACACACAUUUUUAUAAGCUUGGCAGCGUUUUCACUGGCAUCAUUAGGAAAAGUUCUGUAAGGUUCUCCCAAAUAUGCCUGUUGCCAAAGUCUAGCAGGGAGCUAAGUAAACAUUGCACUGGGAUUUGGAUUUUAUGCAUGAACAACAAGGCACCCCCUAUACAUUUUAAAUUACUGGUCACUUGCAAUCAAAUGCACAGGAACAUAAAAGUAUAGUCUUGCUCUUAGUGCCAUAAAAAGUAAAUAGCAGGGCAGGAGGAAUAAGGGAAAGACACACCAGCAAACAAGAAUAAACCUUUUGUUCUUGAAACAAGUUGAGAUCAAGGCUUUGUUACAUGUUUAUUUUAAUUCAAUGAGAUUACAACAUUGGUUAGGAACAUGAUUUCAGUACUGUUUUCCUCUCUCUUUCACUCAUCCCACUUUUUGAAAAUUCACUGGAAUUAUGUUUAAGCUGGUUUUAAUGCAUAGGACAGAGAACAGAAAACUCAGUUUACCAAAACAUAGUUCCUUCCUUGUCAAAUGUAUAUACAGUAGAGUCUCACUUAUCCAAGCCUUGCUUAUCCAAGCCUCUGGAUUAUCCAAGCCAUUUUUGUAGUCAAUGUUUCCAAUAUGUUGUGACAUUUUGGUGCUAAAUUCGUAAAUACAGUAAUUACAACAUAACAUUACUGCAUACUGAACUACUUUUUCUGUCAAAUUUGUUGUAUAACAUGAUGUUUUGGUGCUUAAUUUGUAAAAUCAUAACCUAAUUUGAUGUUGAAUAGGCUUUUCCUUAAUCCCUCCUUAUUAUCCAAGAUAUUCGCUUAUCCAAGCUUCUGCCAGCCCGUUUAGCUUGGAUAAGUGAGACUCUACUGUAGUAGCAAGGAGAAAAGUGCCAGUCUGUUGGUGUGUUCUUACAUAGCAAUAAUACUAUUUCAUGUAACAUUUGUGAGCGUAUGCUUCUUUUCUGUCUUGGCUCUACUUUUAGCAGUGCUCAGCACCAAUUUCCCUAAUUUAAUACGAGGCACUGAAAUGGCAGUAGGCUAUAUAGGUCAUGCUUUUGGUGUCUUUAUAUAAGCUAGCAAGACGACGGAAGAGAACAGGCGAGGUCUUCCCUGCUAUUGUCCAUCGUGAAAUAAAAAAAAAAUCUGAACAGCGAGCUACAUGCUAUGUCUUUACAACUGAAGUGAGGAUGUCAAGAUGUCUCCCUUUGUCACUCUAAAUGCCCUCUUCACCAUUAAUAAUAGUCAGUUUGUGUUCAAAUCCAGCUGCCUUGUACUUGGUAUUGACUCAAGUGUUUGCUUUGAAGGAGGAAGAGAAAGUGGAGAAGUGAAAUGGAAGAGCAGAUUUCCACCUCUGUGCUAUAGCAAGAGAAUGAAAGCAAGGCUUGAUGGAUAUUGUCAGGGCUGUGCCAGGGUGAGACUGACCUGGCUAUAUAUAUAUAAUGCUGGGUUGCUUUGUGGGUUUUUUUCUGGCAGCUGAGUAGGCAGGUAUUUUCCAGAAAAGUCAGUGAUCUUGUUUAAGGAAAUGACAGGUCCUUUGCUGGGUAAAUGCUUUUUUCACAAAACCCGUUUCUUCUACUAUUGCUCAACUUCUGGGAUUUUCUUUCCAGUGAGUGCUUCCUAGGGUCAUACUCCGAAAUGAGCUGUACUGGGUUAGAAGACUGGUAGCUAGUAUUAAUUAAAAAAUACUUCACCACGACUUUGAACCUGUAUAUUUGUUGCUGCUCUUACUUAUUUUAUUAAUAUCUUACUCUUACAUCUGCAGAAGUCACAAAAAUUAGGGGAAAGAGAGGGAGCACUUGAUGGGACCGGCGAGAACAUAAACCUGAAAAAAGUUGUCCAAAAUGGGGAAGAAAAACCUUAUGAGACCUUAAAACAUCAAACUGGCAAGCAAUUAGAAAAGAAUACAGUUGGCCCUCUCUAUCCACCAAUUUUGUUUCCACAGUUUCAACCAAUCACAGCUUGAAAACAUACGGAAAACUGACUCUCUGUGGCACUUGUUUGAAUUAUUCAUUAUUUUAUUUAAGAGGUGUGUAAAGAGAAAUUGGAUGAGCAUACAGUAGAGUCUCACUUAUCCAACAUUUGCUUAUCCAACAUUCUGGAUUAUCCAACGCAGUCUGCCUCUUGCCCGGAUCCAUAGCUAUUUCUCUAGGCAGCAAGGACUGAAUUUUUUACGGAUUUAACUUCUAACAAUGUUGUUACUGCAAGUUCAUUUUAUGCAAUUCUAUCUUUAUUUGUAGUCAACUUGUUAGCAGCCAAUGUUUUAAUAGUCCUUGUUUACAAUACAUUGCAAUAUUUUGGUGCUAAAUUCGUACAUACAGUCAUUGCUACAUAAUGUUACCAUGUGUUGAACUGCUUUUUCUUCCAAUUUGUUGUAAAACAUGAUGUUUUGGUGCUUAAUUUGUAAAAUCAUAACUUCAUUUGAUGUUUAAUAGGGCUUUCCUUAAUCCCUCCUUAUUAUCCAACAUUUUUACUUAUCCAACAUUCUGCUGGCCCGUUUAUGUUGGAUAAGUGAGACUCUGCUGUAUGUAAUGCUUUAACUGGGUAUUCCUUGCUGAAUUAUAUUCUCCAACAUUUCACAGAUGAAAACCAGGAAAUGUGUAGUAGCCAAAAAACACUGAGGUUUGGUCAAGUUGGACAAAGUUGUUAAUGAGGGAGAAUCUAUAAACUAAGAGAAGACUGCAGCAGAUUGUUUUGCCAGAAUUUACUGGGAAUAGCAAGAUUUUGUCCACUCCUCUCCUUUCUUCCUGAUUAAUUAAUUACCGUAUAUACUCAAAGAUAAGCCGAGUUUUUCAGCCCUUAUUUAUGAGCUGAAAAAGCCUCCCCUGGAUUAUAAUCGGGUCAAGGCUGGCAAUGGAGUCUGCAGGCUAUUGCUUGCAAUAUGGGAUCUAUUUCUCUCUUCUCCUCCCUUAUCAGUGUUUUCUUUUGUAAAGCCUCCUUGCUCUUAAUCAAGAGAAUGUUUUGAAAAGAGAGACACCCUUGCAAGUCAGGAAGAAGAAAAAUAUACAUUCAUUAAUCUUGUGAAAGCAUUUUCCCCUGAAAUAUUUGUUAAACUCUCCUACAGAUAUAUAGGCAUUAACCCUUUGCAAGCUUUUGCAAUCUCUAAGUACCCUUAUAUGUGUAUCUAUCUAUAUACAUUAAUUUUAUAUAUGAAUUUUCCCCUCAUAUGUUUGCAGGUCUUUGCAAAUCUUUUAUACAUAUAGAUCCAUGUACCUGUGCAUCUGUAGCCAUACAUAUAUAUUUGCCUGUUCCUUUGUUGGAAGUUGGCCUGAGUCCCCAUGGGCAGAUAAGGUGGGAUCCAAAUGAAGUUUUAUUGUUGUUGUUGUUGUUGUUGUUGUUGUUGUUGUUGUUGAUGUUGUUAUAAGGUUAUUGUUGAUACCAUAUUGUGUUUAUUGCCCCUACUUUUCCACUUAUAGAGCUAGUUCAUUGUUUUUCUUUGAAAUACGGUAAAUAUUCAAAAACAUUUAACCUA